rnacentral:rRNA from 1 species
CUCAGGAGGGGGAUAACGGCUGGAAGCGGCCGCUAAUACCCCAUAUGCCGCGAGGUGAAAUGAAUUUCGCCUGAGGAUGAGCUCGCGUCUGAUUAGCUAGUUGGUGGGGUAAGAGCCUACCAAGGCGACGAUCAGUAGCUGGUCUGAGAGGAUGAUCAGCCACACUGGGACUGAGACACGGCCCAGACUCCUACGGGAGGCAGCAGUGGGGAAUUUUCCGCAAUGGGCGAAAGCCUGACGGAGCAACGCCGCGUGAGGGAUGAAGGCCUCUGGGCUGUAAACCUCUUUUUUCAAGGAAGAAGAUCUGACGGUACUUGAAGAAUAAGCCACGGCUAAUUCCGUGCCAGCAGCCGCGGUAAUACGGGAGUGGCAAGCGUUAUCCGGAAUUAUUGGGCGUAAAGCGUCCGCAGGCGGCCUUGAAAGUCUGUCGUUAAAGCGUGGAGCUUAACUCCAUUUAAGCGAUGGAAACUACAAGGCUAGAGUGUGGUAGGGGCAGAGGGAAUUCCCGGUGUAGCGGUGAAAUGCGUAGAUAUCGGGAAGAACACCAGUGGCGAAGGCGCUCUGCUGGGCCAUAACUGACGCUCAUGGACGAAAGCCAGGGGAGCGAAAGGGAUUAGAUACCCCUGUAGUCCUGGCCGUAAACGAUGAACACUAGGUGUCGGGGGAAUCGACCCCCUCGGUGUCGUAGCCAACGCGUUAAGUGUUCCGCCUGGGGAGUACGCACGCAAGUGUGAAACUCAAAGGAAUUGACGGGGCCCGCACAAGCGGUGGGAGUAUGUGGUUUAAUUCGAUGCAACGCGAGAACCUUACCAGGGUUUGACAUCCUGCGAAUCUUUUGGAAACAGAAGAGUGCCUUUCGGGAGCGCAGAGACAGGUGGUGCAUGGCUGUCGUCCAGCCUCGUGUCAUGAAAGUUGGUAGUCCCGCAACGAGGCGCUACCCACGUCGUAGUU